rnacentral:rRNA from 1 species
AGUGAACGCUGGCGGUAGGCCUAACACAUGCAAGUCGAACGGCAGCACAGUAAGAGCUUGCUCUUACGGGUGGCGAGUGGCGGACGGGUGAGGAAUACAUCGGAAUCUACUUUUUCGUGGGGGAUAACGUAGGGAAACUUACGCUAAUACCGCAUACGACCUACGGGUGAAAGCAGGGGAUCUUCGGACCUUGCGCGAUUGAAUGAGCCGAUGUCGGAUUAGCUAGUUGGCGGGGUAAAGGCCCACCAAGGCGACGAUCCGUAGCUGGUCUGAGAGGAUGAUCAGCCCCACUGGAACUGAGACACGGUCCAGACUCCUACGGGGGGCAGCAGUGGGGAAUAUUGGGCAAUGGGCGCAAGCCGGAUCCAGCCAUACCGCGUGGGUGAAGAAGGCCUUCGGGUUGUAAAGCCCUUUUGUUGGGAAAGAAAAGCAGCAGGUUAAUACCCCGCUGUUCUGACGGUACCCAAAGAAUAAGCACCGGCUAACUUCG